AAUCGCCUCCGUUGGUUCGGCUCAUUCUCUGAUGCUGUUUCAGUUUAUCGUUAAAAACGAAAACCGAUCUAGCCCAUGGCCAUGUGGUAACAUCUCGCUCUCUAGUCUGACUCUAGAACUCUCCAAGCUUUUCUCUAUGCAUCUUUCCCUCUUCUAAUCCAUAGCUCCAGGGCCCAUUCCCGUUGCAGUGACCAGCCAUCCGUAAACGAAUGAUAGAACCCCAGCCAAGCUACACUGGCAGAAAGGUUUUGAAGCAUUCAUGCAGGAAUGAAGUCAUGUAUCUUGAAGUUAGCAGGACUAAUUUUCAGUUUUACUGAAGAUUUAGAUUUGAUAUAUGUUAACUUACUUUUAGUUUGAAACAAGUAAUGAGGCAAAAAGGAUUGAGUAUUAUGUUGAAUUGUCGAAUUUUGACACUUAAGUGUCUUUGUUUAUUUAUACAAAACCAUUACAAGGAUGUAUGGCACAAACCAAGAGAAUGUGAUUUAUC